rnacentral:rRNA from 1 species
GACGUAGGGCGCAAGCGUUUGUCCGGAAUUAUUGGGCGUAAAGAGCUCGUAGGCGGCUUGUUGCGUCGACUGUGAAAAACCACGACUCAACCGUGGGACUGCAGUCGAUACGGGCAGGCUAGAGUUCGGUAGGGGAGACUGGAAUUCCUGGUGUAGCGGUGAAAUGCGCAGAUAUCAGGAGGAACACCGGUGGCGAAGGCGGGUCUCUGGGCCGAUACUGACGCUGAGGAGCGAAAGCGUGGGGAGCGAACAGG